GAUAAACAAGUUAAUAAACUAAAACUUUCAACAACGGAUCUCUUGGUUCUGGCAUCGAUGAAGAACGCAGCGAAAUGCGAUAAGUAAUGUGAAUUGCAGAAUUCAGUGAAUCAUCGAAUCUUUGAACGCACAUUGCGCCCCUUGGUAUUCCGGGGGGCA
rnacentral:rRNA from 1 species